GACGAACGCUGGCGGUGUGCUUAACACAUGCAAGUCGAACGGAAAGGCCCUGCUUUUGGUGGCUGCUCGAGUGGCGAACGGGUGAGUAACACGUUAGUAACCGGCCCUUGACUUGGGGAUAACUUCAGGAAACUGGUGCUAAUACCGGAUAGGAGCUCCUGCUGCAUGGUGGGGGUUGGAAAGUUUUGGAGGUGUGGGAUGGGCUCGCGGCUUAUCAGCUUGUUGGUGGGGUAUUGGCUUACCAAGGGUUUGCCGGGUAGACGGCCUGAGAGGGUGCCCGGACCCACUGGGAGACAGAUACGCGGCCCACACUCCUGCGAGGGACAAGAGGGGAAUAUUGUACGCUGGGCGGAAGAGUGAUGCAGAACAGCAGCGCGUGAGAUAAGGGCGCUCGUGUUGUAUACCGCUCUCGUCUGUGACGAGGAGUGAGUGACGGUAAUGGGUAAAGCAGCACCGGCUAACUACGUG
rnacentral:rRNA from 1 species